rnacentral:misc_RNA from 1 species
UGCGGGAGCUUGCUCCCAAAAGUUAGCGGCGGACGGGUGAGUAACACGUGGGCAACCUGCCUAUAAGACUGGGAUAACUUCGGGAAACCGGAGCUAAUACCGGAUCAUUCUUUUCUACACAUGUAGGAAAGCUGAAAGACGGUUUACGCUGUCACUUAUAGAUGGGCCCGCGGCGCAUUAGCUAGUUGGUGAGUUAUCGGCUCACCAAGGCCAAAAUGCGUAGCCGACCUGAGAGGGUGAUCGGCCACACUUGGUCCCUUGACACGNCGAAGACUCCUACGGUAGGUCGCU